UGCCAGCCGCCGCGGUAAGACGGAGGGUGCAAGCGUUAAUCGGAAUUACUGGGCGUAAAGGGCGCGUAGGUGGCCGUGUAAGUCGGAUGUGAAAGCCCCGGGCUUAACUUGGGAAUUGCAUUCGAUACUGCAUGGCUAGAGUGUGGCAGAGGAAAGCGGAAUUCCCGGUGUAGCGGUGAAAUGCGUAGAUAUCGGGAGGAACAUCAGUGGCGAAGGCGGCUUUCUGGACCGAUACUGACGCUGAGACGCGAAAGCGUGGGGAGCAAACAGGAUUAGAUA
rnacentral:rRNA from 1 species